rnacentral:rRNA from 1 species
AUUACACAAAUAUGAAGGCGGGCUGGAACCUCUCGGGGUUACAGCCUUGCUGAAUUAUUCACCCUUGUCUUUUGCGUACUUCUUGUUUCCUUGGUGGGUUCGCCCACCACUAGGACAAACAUAAACCUUUUGUAAUUGCAAUCAGCGUCAGUAACAAAUUAAUAAUUACAACUUUCAACAACGGAUCUCUUGGUUCUGGCAUCGAUGAAGAACGCAGCGAAAUGCGAUAAGUAGUGUGAAUUGCAGAAUUCAGUGAAUCAUCGAAUCUUUGAACGCACAUUGCGCCCUUUGGUAUUCCAAAGGGCAUGCCUGUUCGAGCGUCAUUUGUACCCUCAAGCUUUGCUUGGUGUUGGGCGUCUUGUCUCUAGCUUUGCUGGAGACUCGCCUUAAAGUAAUUGGCAGCCGGCCUACUGGUUUCGGAGCGCAGCACAAGUCGCACUCUCUAUCAGCAAAGGUCUAGCAUCCAUUAAGCCUUUUUUUCAACUUUUGACCUCGGAUCAGGUAGGGAUACCCGC